rnacentral:rRNA from 1 species
GAUGAACGCUGGCGGCGUGCUUAACACAUGCAAGUCGAACGGAAAGGCCCAAGCUUGCUUGGGUACUCGAGUGGCGAACGGGUGAGUAACACGUGGGUGAUCUGCCCUGCACAUCGGGAUAAGCCUGGGAAAAUGGGUCUAAUACCGGAUAGGACCACAUUUUGGAUGGUGUGGUGGAAAGUUUUUCGGUGUGGGAUGGGCUCGCGGCCUAUCAGCUUGUUGGGGGUGGAAUGGCCUACCAAGGCGUCGACGGGUAGCCGGCCCGGGAGGGUGUACGGGCACAUUGGGACUGGGAUACGGACCAGACUCCUACGGGAGGCAGCAGUAGGGAAGAUGGCACAAUGGGCGUGAGCCUGAUGCUGCGACGCCGCGUGGGGGAGGACGGCCAACGGGUUGUAAACGCCUUUCGCUAGGGACGAAGCGUUAUGUGACGGUACCUGGAGAAGAAGCACCGGCUAACUACGUG